rnacentral:sRNA from 1 species
UCGAGAUAAAGGCGGUCUUGUAUAUGC